AGAUGUUUUUCUGGCACAUAUUUUACCAUAUCAUCUGAAAAACUCCUCAUGACGCCAUAGCACCCAUUGAAAUAGAGUGUUUGGAAAAAAAACGAAAUCUUUUGGUCCAGUGUAGAGGGCGUAGUCAGAAGAAAACGGCAAUCAAUAGAAGUAAUACUCAUCAUCACUUCUAUUGGUUUCUGACACGUCCAUCAACCGCCAGCACUCACCCCUCCUCCCUGCGCGUUCACCGACUCGUGAACUUGACCGACCCCGCCCCCAUCAUUCAUGCACACGCGACAAGGCUCAUCAUCACUCGGCUAGUAGCAAGGUAACGAGAGUUAGCAGCAGGCUGAGCUACUUGGAAACUUUGGUGGCUUUUGCAGAGCUACAGGAAGAACUUUGGCUUUUGGAACACUAGACUACCGGUAACCAUGUCAGGAUAACAUACUCCCUUGGAUUAUCAUCGGACUCGCAAGACCAGACUCCAACACGGGCUGAAAAUUUGAAAUGGGACCUGACACUCUUGGACACAGAUGUCGGCUACGGCAGCGGCUUCAAAUACGCUUUGGUGACCAUAUUUCUAAUCGAGAGUUGUGCGAACGAGCCAGACAAACCAGCUGGGAGGAGGACGGAAGCACCCCUUCUCCAUCCGCGUUCAGUUGCUAAAUACGGAUCCACCCCGUAGUGUGGUGUUUUCCAUAGCUGCUCCUUGCUCCUGUUUCACAACAUAUCAAGGCUGCCAAGUAAAUGAAGAAUGAAUCACCGCACACUGGUCAACAGCCGACAGGGUCCUUCCACAACCACAUACUUAUGCCAGUAAAAGCCACAGCUUUUCUCCUCCAAUCCAAGAAGCCUGGACUGCAGUCACCAUCUCAACACACCAACCAAGAGAAAGGCGGAUGGCUCAAUUCAAUAUGGAAAAUUGCACAAUAAAAGUUCCAGGACAUGAAGGCUGCAUACUGUGAACGUCAACCUUCAGGGCACCGUCCUGCGCAGAAGACUUUCUACCCUAAGAGGGAUGGCUGACCGCAGACACUCACAACCAGCACAGACGCCUCCAACCUCAAACCAGGCCCUUCACAGUUGCUGCACUUACCCACCUUCCCAGAGUUUUUGUGUGGUAAUGACAACUGUAAAUAUAGUAUAAAGUAAUGUAUCUAGUGUCAUGUGUAAUACAUUGUUUAAAUUGUCCAUACAUUUCAAUGACAGUAAAUAUUGGUGGACACAAUUUGACUGUGUGGCUUUUUUUUUUAUUCAUUCUCUGACUGAAAAUGCAUGGUUAC